UCAGGAUGAACGCUAGCUACAGGCUUAACACAUGCAAGUCGAGGGGUAGCAGGGUAGCAAUACCGCUGACGACCGGCGCACGGGUGAGUAACACGUAUCCAACCUUCCCAUAACUCAGGGAUAGCCUUUCGAAAGAAAGAUUAAUACCUGAUAGUACUUUUUCAAGGCAUCUUGAGAAAGUUAAAGAUUUAUUGGUUAUGGAUGGGGAUGCGUUCCAUUAGAUAGUUGGUGAGGUAACGGCUCACCAAGUCUUCGAUGGAUAGGGGUUCUGAGAGGAAGGUCCCCCACAUUGGUACUGAGACACGGACCAAACUCCUACGGGAGGCAGCAGUGAGGAAUAUUGGUCAAUGGGCGAGAGCCUGAACCAGCCAAGUAGCGUGAAGGAAUGAAGGUCCUAUGGAUUGUAAACUUCUUUUAUAGUAGAAUAAAGUGAUCCACGUGUGGAUUUUUGUAUGUAUACUAUGAAUAAGGAUCGGCUAACUCCGUGCCAGCCGCGGC
rnacentral:rRNA from 1 species